UACGGAGGGUGCGAGCGUUGUCCGGAAUCAUUGGGCGUAAAGGGCGCGUAGGUGGCGCGGCAAGCGUGCGGUGAAAGCUCGGGGCUCAACCCCGAGUCGGCCGUGCGAACUGCUGGGCUUGAGCACUGUAGAGGCAGGCGGAAUUCCGGGUGUAGCGGUGGAAUGCGUAGAGAUCCGGAAGAACACCGGUGGCGAAGGCGGUUAGCUGGGCAGUUGCUGGACACUGAGGCGCGACAGCGUGGGGAGCAAACAGGG
rnacentral:rRNA from 1 species